rnacentral:rRNA from 1 species
GAUGAACGCUAGCUACAGGCUUAACACAUGCAAGUCGAGGGGCAGCAUUAUCGAAGCUUGCUUUGAUAGAUGGCGACCGGCGCACGGGUGAGUAACGCGUAUCCAACCUUCCCCAUAGUCAGGAAUAGCCCGGCGAAAGUCGAAUUAAUGCCUGAUGUUUUCCACGGACGGCAUCUGAUGUGGAACAAAGAUUCAUCGCUAUGGGAUGGGGAUGCGUCUGAUUAGUUAGUCGGCGGGGUAACGGCCCACCGAGACGACGAUCAGUAGGGGUUCUGAGAGGAAAGUCCCCCCANAUUGGAACUGAGACACGGUCCAAACUCCUACGGGAGGCAGCAGUGAGGAAUAUUGGUCAAUGGGCGGAAGCCUGAACCAGCCAAGUAGCGUGCAGGACGACGGCCCUAUGGGUUGUAAACUGCUUUAUAAGGGAAUAAAGUGAGUCUCGUGAGACUUUUUGCAUGUACCUUAUGAAUAAGGACCGGCUAAUUCCGUGCCAGCAC